UGUCUUGUGGUGCAGUGGUCAGCAUACCAGCCCUGAAUGCUUGGAGACGUGGGUUCGAAUCCCACCGAGGCAC